AUCGCCCUGUAGAUCUAUUUGGGGUUGUGCGGAGACCCCACAGCACCGAAGGCAACUCGGUGACCCAUGCGCCGGCAGCAUGUCCCAGUUCUUGCAGGAGUCGAGGCUUCAACCCUUGAAGAAUAAGUCCAUUCGCUCGCUCUGCUUGCCCGUUUGUUUGGGGAUGCGCCGCAGAUGCAAAAUCCACUCGGAUACCUUGGC
rnacentral:lncRNA from 1 species